CGAACGCUGGCGGCGUGCUUAACACAUGCAAGUCGAACGGCAAGGCCCUGCUUUUGUGGGGUGCUCGAGUGGCGAACGGGUGAGUAACACGUGAGUAACCUGCCCUUGACUUUGGGAUAACUUCAGGAAACUGGGGCUAAUACCGGAUAGGAGCUCCUGCUGCAUGGUGGGGGUUGGAAAGUUUCGGCGGUUGGGGAUGGACUCGCGGCUUAUCAGCUUGUUGGUGGGGUAGUGGCUUACCAAGGCUUUGACGGGUAGCCGGCCUGAGAGGGUGACCGGCCACAUUGGGACUGAGAUACGGCCCAGACUCCUACGGGAGGCAGCAGUGGGGAAUAUUGCACAAUGGGCGGAAGCCUGAUGCAGCAACGCCGCGUGCGGGAUGACGGCCUUCGGGUUGUAAACCGCCUUCGCCUGUGACGAAGCGUGAGUGACGGUAAUGGGUAAAGAAGCACCGGCUAACUACGUG
rnacentral:rRNA from 1 species